rnacentral:rRNA from 1 species
UACGUAGGUGGCAAGCGUUGUCCGGAAUUAUUGGGCGUAAAGCGCGCGCAGGCGGUCCUUUAAGUCUGAUGUGAAAGCCCCGGGCUUAACCUGGGAACUGCGAUGGAAACUAGCGAGCUGGAGUGUGGCAGAGGGGGGUGGAAUUCCGCGUGUAGCAGUGAAAUGCGUAGAGAUGCGGAGGAACACCGAUGGCGAAGGCAGCCCCCUGGGCUAACACUGACGCUCAGGCACGAAAGCGUGGGGAGCAAACAGG